CGCAAAGAAUGUGGAAAGUGAAGGUAUUUGAGAGCAGGAACAUAUUAGAGUGCCUAUUUAGAAUAUAAAAUUAUACAUUAUUUAAUAUGUCCGGAAUUUAGGAAAGUGUUUUCGAAAGCUACUGAGUUCAAGUGGUACAUAUCUUUCCACAUCUUUUGUCCAGCUUCAAAAACUUGUUAUUGUAAUUAACAUGCUGGUCUCAUAUUCUUUCCGAGCUCUAACCCAAACUAUACUAAAUCCUGGCAAGAGCCCACUCUUCCUCAUCUUCAUAUUCCCUUUUAAUUUCAUUAUCACGUAAUCUUUUAUCCUUAUUCCUUAAGAGAGUUACUCCACACUGGUGCAGAAACAACUAAAUCCAAAAUAAAUGAUGGUAAAACAGAGAGAGAUUCUCCAUAAAUAAUAAAUAGUGACUAUUUUACCCUCCAAUGCCUGCAAAACGGACGGGACAAGGAGAAAGCUUUUUCAAAGAGUCCAUGAAACGUGAGCCGAUCAUGUCACCAGAAACCUCUCCAGCAACUAUAAAGACUCUGAGUUCCCCAUCUUUUGAACCCAUAUCUAUGGGUGCUUGUUGACUUGACACCAACAAGUGCCUUUUAA
rnacentral:lncRNA from 1 species